rnacentral:lncRNA from 1 species
UAUACAGAGUCUUUACAAAGAUGCUUCCAGUUGCUUGAAAAAGGCAGAUGUGACAACAGAAACUUAAAGAUCCAUUCCAUUAUUGAUAAAUGAGAAAGGUUAAAGAACUUUAGUAGUUAAUUACAGGGCUAAAUAAAAUUGUUUAUAAAUUUCUCUGCUGUUGAAAUUGCCAAUAAGAGUAGAUAACUUCUCUAGUGUCAUGCUAUAGAUGGUGUUUUAAUAUAGCAAUUUUAAGUUAUUGUGUCAUUACUGUUCGUAUAUUUUAUGUAUUGUAUUAGUAUACAGAGCCCAUAUUUAAAUAUUUAUAUUCUACAAAUUCUAAAUGUUGUCCUUCUUAUUAGAUUGAAAGAAUACCUAGCUUAACCUAAUGUUCUAGUUGCUUCUUCAUGCAGUUUUCUUAUUUAUACUGGUAGAUGUCUGUUUUGUGCAGGUUUUGACUGCUGGUUCCAUCUCAAGUUCAUGUGUUAAAAUUCCACAUAUUUCAACUAAAGUUGAUAUCAAGUCUUUUCUAAGUGCCUGGUUAAGUGACCAGCAGACUUUUUUUUUGUUGAUGGAUUUCUUAUUAUGGAACCUUGGCUGGUAUUGAAGCAAUUUGAAUGUUUAUAAUAAAAUUUGGGAUGACAUAAAUUCGAAGUUGCUUGUUUUUUAUCACAAGAUCUUAAAAAUUUCAUUUACGUUGAAUUUUGCUGCAACUUCACAGAGUAAACAUCAAUUCUUUAUUCUACAGUAGGAAUGUUAACCUGAAUACCACAUGAAGACUAAGGGCUCAGAGAAUUUGCAUCCUUUAAAGAGAAUGAGAAGCCCAGAAGGUCAAUCUCAGGAGAUUAACAAAAUGUUUAGGCUAAUAUAGAAAGAUGGAGGAGGAGGUUAGUCAGGCUUUGGAGAAAUCUUGUGGUCGACCAGCACAUCCAGGACUAAAACCUAGUUUGUUUGUUUGCUUGUUUGUUCGUUUUGCUUUUUACGGCCACACCCACAGCAUAUUGAAGUUACAGGGCUAGAGGUCGAAUUGGAGCUACAGCUGCCCACCUACACCACAGCCACAGCAGUGUGGGAUCUGAACUCCUGCUGUGACCUACACCACAGCUCACGGCAACACUAGAUCCUUAACCCACUGAACGAGGCCAGGGAUCGAACCCUCAUCCUCAUGGAUUCUAGUCAGAUUCGUUUCCCGUUGCACCACGAAGGGAACUCUCUAAAAUCUAGUUCAGAUUGACUCCAGAGUAAGGCAGUUCUUUAUCAGUGUUGCCGGCCUGCUUCUGUAGAUAGAUAUUGUGAAGUAGUGGUAGAGUUAAAUCAGUGAAUCACAUGCAAUAGUGUGAAAGUCUUAUAAAUCCCAAUAUUAAAUUCUGCACUUGGAUUCAAAGAAACAGUGAUGAUCAAGUGGAUGAGAUGUGGAUAAACAGUAGCAUAUGUUAAGACAUUUGCUUAAAGUAAGUUCAAUAUUAGUCAACACUGUGCCAAGGCCAGCUGAGACUCCCCCUGGACCAGUGUUAAAAGAAGCACAACAGUAAGAACAAAUAAGAUGAGAGCCUCAUUUUAUAUUGGUUGCCUGUGUUUGAGUCCUGGUUUCUUGGUUCAUUUUACACUUUAAGGAAAUGAAAAUUUAUUAAGGAAAAAAAAAAGUAGAAAGUUAAAAAUGCUUGGCUUAUAAAGAAUGGUGAAAAGACAGGAAGGUGUUUCACAGUUAUGAGAAAGCCUGGUUGGUCGUGAUAGAUAUAAAAAACUUGGCCUUCUUUUUUCAGUAUAUAGAUGUAUUUUGUUCAGAUUUAAAAUCCAUAGCAUGAAACUCAAAACCAAAAAUUAUCAUGUUCGGCCUGAUUGACUUCUUGUAACUUACUCUUUGUCCUACAUGAGUAUGAAUGCUUUACCUCUACAGGCUGGUUAUUUGCUAUGAGGUGGAAGAAAAGAAUGCUGAGAACUCAUUUACCCCCCCCUUUUUUUUUUGGUUUAGAACAUAGCAGUAUUUUAAAUAGUGCUCCUUGGGAUCAAUAUUUUAGUUUCCCUUUCCUGCAAUUUUUUUUCCUUUUCUUUUUUUUUUAAUUUCAGACUUGAACACAAUCACAGGGAUUAAGAAAGGAUAAUGACAAUUAAAAUUCAGUUCAACCAACAGGCUUUAAAUUCUAUGUGUGUCUCCGUCAUCCAGCUUCUCCCUUCUCAGACCUGGCAGUGCUGCAGAAGCUCAUUUCUGUCUAGAUCACUGAUGCUCAAACAUAGGAGCAUCUAUCUCAGGAUCCCUUGAAACUUUCAAAAAUUAUCGAGGACCCUGUAAUUUGUUUAUUGUGAGUUACGGCUCUCGAUAUUUACUUUGUUGGAAGUUAAAAGUGGAUUUAAGAUGUUUACCUAAUAAUCCAUUUUAAAAUAAUAAACCCACUCCCUGUGUACAUAAAUACCAUUUUUUUUUUUUGGUAUGGAAAUAAUACUAUAUUCCUGAAAACAAAAAACUCAGUAGGAAGAGUGGCAAUGUAUUUCCCAUUUUUGUCCACUUAACAUGCAGAUUUUUAAAAAGAAAUAUAUUGGAAAAAACUGGGGGGAUUUUUGACAGCUUGAAAAAACUCAUAUAUGAACCAGGGAACCUGGAAAUAUUGAUAAAAAUUAAGAAAAAGUUAUGUUGUGAAAGCAUAAAAUAGGCAGAUAUACAUAUAACAUAGAAAAUAUGUGUUAGUCGAUUAUUUAUGGAAGUGGUAAGGCUUCCUGUCAAUAGCGGACGACUCCUAGUUACAUUUUGAGGAAUCAAGAGUUCUGAGAGGAUUUGGACCUGAGUGGGGCUCAGUGCUCCUAACCUUCCCGUUGUUCAAGCGUCAAUUCCAUGUCUCAGCAUUAUUACCAAAAUAAUUUUGACCUCCCAGCCCCCUGAAAGAGUUUCAAGAAUACCUAUAGGUCCCUAGAACACACUACUUUGAAAAGAACUAGUAUGGAUAUUCCAUGCAUACUUUUAAAUCUCUUAGUUAUGUCCCUUUGGUAGUUACAGAUCAGGCAGUCAUUACAUUCUGGAUCAUUGGCAUUCAUUGAUACUCUUCUCAUCAGAGAAGCUAGUGAUUGAAACUUGGAUUUAUCUGGGCAUUUGUUUGGCUCAAGAGUGAGGAGGCUAUCUAUAUAAAAAGUGUGUGUGUGCGUGUGUGUGUGUGUGUGUGAAUGUACAUAUGUGCUUACAGGUAUGUACUAUACAUAUGAAACAGAAUGUGUUCCUUGCUAGUCAAUAGGGAAUGAAGUAAUACAGACCACUCAAAAAAUAGCAGUGGUAUCAAAGACGGUAUUGCUCCUGUCUUUGAUGUAAAAAUGUUAAGACUUCUUCAGGUUAUUUGACACAAACGUAAAAAUAAAAUAGAGUAUUGCCUGAAAUAGGAUGGACAGCUUUUUAUAAUUACAUAGACAACAUCAGCAGGAUGUAAGUUAUUUAAAGAUGACAUUAGUGCUGAGCCAGCCAAAAAAGGGAAGAAAACAAGAUUUUGAAUUACUUCUGCACAGCCCACAUCCUGUCACGUGUCAUUGUUUAAUUGCACUUUGAGGCGCAGUCUCGGGGAGAAGAGUACAUAUCACUCUGCUUCUGCCGGGGCACGAUGCUUUGGUGUCCACCUGUGGGGAAGCACGAGUGGAUCUGCUGUCGUUAAAGCAUUCACCAUUGGGAGAGCUCCGUUUUCAGACUUUUAUUUUGCUUGAGAUUUCAAAAAUAAACCAUCCGACUGAGAUAGCAGCUUUGCCAAGAGAAAAAGUAUUGUUUAGUGAGUUUUUUUUAUCUGAAUGAAGGUGAUAUGAAUUUUACUCCCUGAGUAUUCUGGGAGUAUUAAAAUUAUUGGGAAAUCAUUCACAUAUAUCUAGGAUUUGGCCUAAAUUAAAGAUGUUAUUUUUCAGGCCAAGUCCCCCCCUUUUUUUUUUCUUUUUCUUUCUUUCUUUCUUUUUUUUUUUUUGUUUGUUUGUUUGUUUGCUAUUGAUCUCCACCAAAUGCUUGGGUAGCCUUCAAAAUAGUGAUUAAAAAUAUGAACCACCGUGAAUUACCUACAGCAGAGUGCAGUGCACUGAGGUUUAGACCUAUCACCAGAUUGGUAUCUGAGGGAGGGAGAGGCAGCCUGCGGAGACUAGGAGAAGAGCAGGCAGUAGGUCACAGGCAGAUGGGCCCCAGCAUAGGAGUUGAGCACAGCUGAAAGGCACAUCACCUCAGGUAGAUAGAGCACAGAUGCAGAUAAGGUUGGAACUGACCGGUCCUGCACAGAUCCACACGGCCAGGCAACAGGCAUCUGAGAAAUGUGUCACAGGGGUGUGGGUGCGGGGUAGGUCUGGCCAUUCCCGGGAUAGAUAGGAAAGAAUGGUAAAAUCAGUGAAAAUCUCAGUCACUAAAAAAAGCCGUUAAAAAGGGACACCUGACGCGUGCAAAUCAGGCAAGGUCCUGUAUCACCUGAGCAUAUAGAACAAGAGUCAUGGUUUUGAUGGUGUCAGCAGGCUUUCUUUGGAGGCGGUCUCCAAAGGAAUUUCAGCUCUCGUGAAUGUUAAUUAAACCCUUUGGAGUAAUUUGAUAGAAAUCUUUCUUUUUUGAGUUUAGCCCAUGGUUUGAUCUUACAUUUUGUUGAAGUUAGUGGAAAAAUACCAUCUACCUCUGUGAAACACUUGUAGUUUAAAUAAUAGAGACCACAUUUUGAUUCAUUGCCCUUGUAGAAAGAUGGUUCAGGGCUGUGUUCAUUUUUCUUCUAUAUUAGGAUUUAUUUAUAAAAUGCGGAAGAACUAUUUGAAAAUUUUUGGAAGUGGUACACCUCCCUUUUUUUGGUAUGUUCUUUACAUUUAUUUGGGGAUGAUCUCUGUGGAUUCUUUUCAUUGCCAGUUGUUUUAUUUCUCUUAAUGCCCAUGACACUCUUGUUAUUAAUUGUGCAACGAGGGUCAUGCAUUAACUCAUUCUAGCCACUUGGGCUCCUCCAAAUGUACUGGUGUUUGGUUCAUUAAAUGAUGCAUUAAUUGUUUUCAAACCACGAGGGCCUCAUUUAAUAACUUGCUAUAGCUUGCAAUUAAAUGGUGUCCCAGUGCCCUCAAAAUGUAUCCUCAUUUAAUGACUCACAUACUCUUGAAAAGGGCAUUUAAGUGACCACAACUAUGCCAGAGUUACAAAGUGAACUGAGUUACUUUUCUGGGUGGUUUUUUUUAUCCUUUAUCUGUGGCCUUCCCAAUAUCUUGCUGGAGCACCAACUAUCUACUUUAAUAAAAAAAUUUCAUGUAUUAAUAGCACUAAAAUCUUGCAGUUUGCAAUUUCAGCCUUAAUUUUAGACAUCUACAAGCCAGACACUCAUAGACCAAGACAGAUCUUAUACCUUCUGCUCUGAGACGGGCUCCUUAACUGUGUCAGCAGGUAACCCAUAUAAUUAAAAGGAGUGCCAUGUGUAGGCACUGGCCUGUCUUUAUCUGAAUUUUCUCGUUGAAUUCUCACAAAGACUAUGGAGUAUAGGUAUUUAUAUUCACCUGAUUUUAUAGAUGAAGCAAUUGAAACUUAGGGUUCCCGCUGUGGCAUAGCAGAUUAAGGAUCCAGCAUUGUCUCUGCAGAGGCUCAGGUCCAGUCCCCAGCCCGGCCAAACAGGUGGCAGAGCUGGAAUUCGAACAGAGCCAAUAGCCAUUCCAGCUCCACACUUCAUUCAUUCAUUGGUGAAUUCAUUCAUUCCUCUGACAAUUUUUAAUGCUCACUCUGUGACAAAUUUGACAGCUUACUGAGAGUGAAGGGCAGGGAAUCUAUGACUCCAAAUUUUGGGGUAGCUCUGGGCUUCAUCUAAUUCCUUUAAACUUUAUAGGCAGGAUGGAGAACUGUUAGGAGUCUAAAAAACAUAUCACCUCUGGAAAUAUUCUGCUCUGGGUAAUUCAGGUCCCCCCUCCUUGCUGCUUUAGUUUGGGAUUCCUUUCUUUGACUCUCCCACUGUUUCUUUGGCAACUCUCGGCUCAGCCUUGGUCCCUGUUUCUUUCUCACUAUUCUGCUGCACGUUCUCCUGCCUCUGCCAUUCUCUACAUCUUCGGUUGUUUCCCUCUCUGAUGUCUCUCUGUCCCUGAACCACCAGAAAAUAUAACUACACAGGAGUUCCCAUUGUGGCACAGUGGAAAUGAAUCCAACUAGGAACCAUGAGGUUGCAGGUUCGAUCCCUGGCCUUGCUCCAUGGGUUAAGAAUCCGGCGUUACCGUGAGCUGUGGUGUAGGUCGAAGACGUGUCUUGGAUCCUGCACUGCUGUGGCUGUGGUGUAGGCUGGCGGCUACAGCUCUGAUUAGACCCCUAGUUUGGGAACCUCCAUAUGCAGCAGGUGU